rnacentral:rRNA from 1 species
AUUGAACGCUGGCGGCAUGCUUUACACAUGCAAGUCGAGCGGCAGCGCGGGACUCAGGCAACUGAGCCCUGGCGGCGAGCGGCGAACGGGUGAGGAAUACAUCGGAACGUGUCCCGUAGUGGGGGAUAGCUCGGCGAAAGCCGGAUUAAUACCGCAUAUGCUCUACGGAGGAAAGCCGGGGACCUGCAAGGGCCUGGCGCUAUGGGAGCGGCCGAUGCCGAUUAGCUAGUUGGUGAGGUAAAGGCUCACCAAGGCGACGAUCGGUAGCUGGUCUGAGAGGAUGAUCAGCCACACUGGGACUGAGACACGGCCCAGACUCCUACGGGAGGCAGCAGUGGGAAUUUUGGACAAUGGGGCAACCCUGAUCCAGCCAUGCCGCGUGCGGGAUGAAGGAUCUAGGUCUGUAAACUCCUUUUGUUGGGAAAGACUUAGGACGGUACCCAACGAAUAAGCACCGGCUAACUACGUGACAGCCGCCGCAGUAAU